UACACACAUAAUGUUGUAAUAACUAAACAUACAAGUAACUAUAACCAAGAGUGUCGGUUGGCGUGCACCUUACCGCUUGGUUAAGCCUGCUUCUAUAGGUCAAGGGCAGAUUUUCGACGAGCCAGGGGCGCGCAGCGCCUUUUUUGGGGGAGCCUAGGACGAGUGUAGUAAUUCCGCUCGACAAUUUAAAUUCCUGUAGUUAAGCUUUUAUUUUAUAUCUAUGUUGCUGUUUUUUAGUAUAUCUUGCGAAUUUCAAUUUCGUAAAAUAGUUUACACAUGUAAAAAUCAUCUUUUCGAUUUCGUACUCUCUGUAACCGAUUUGGGCAAAGGUUACUGCCACAAGGCAAUAUCAAUUCCUAAAUUACUAAUGAUUUAGCCCUUUCCUAAUUAGUUGAUAUAUUUGAAUAUGUUGGGGAAAAGUUCAUUGUUUUUUUUUUUCAUUAUUUUCUCAGAGACGCUUAACCCACAAAUAUGUUGGGGCAUUUUCCGUUUGGCAGUGAGGAAAGUCCUCUUAAUUUCUGAUCAUGCUUAUUGUUUUGGAAAAUUGAAUUCAUUCUUCUUUUUCAGACAUUGACGAAUGUUCACAAGCAAACAUGUGUCACGCUGACGCAACAUGUACUAAUACACCAGGACCAUACCUAUGUACUUGCAACACUGGUUACACAGGCAAUGGAACGUAUUGCGUAGGUAAGUAAAGAACAAUAAAAUAAGUGAAUGAAAAUAUUAAACGGGAGAUGGGAAAAAUAAAUGAGAAAACUUAGAUUGCAGUCGACGAGGUAUGAGCAGGAUUACAUUAUAUACAAAAUUCUCAACGACUUUGGUGCACCAAAUUUGAAAGAGUUGUUGAUGAGAAGGCAUUGCUUAGAAACUAAUUGUGACUCUGAAAUUCUCACACUGAUCUGGCCCUUCCUAAACCGCGACGCAAGUUUCUUGAAAAAGCUUUAAGUAGGCUACAGUGGUGGUAAACUUUGGAAUAGUCUUCCGCCCGCAGCUAAGGAAGCGCAAUCAAUUUACUCUUUCAAAAACUUUGUAAAUUAAUUUCAUGGUUAGAUAGAAACAACUAUAGUUCUUAAUAUACGACCAAGUCACAACAAUUUAAUUGAAUAUUUUUUAAAAUCUGUUGUAAAAAGCUAUGUAUCUUAAUUUGUAACUAACUUUUACUUGUGCUAGUGACACCCCUUGUGGAAACGAACUAUUGCUAUUGACAAGGCUAGCGUCAUUAUAUAAAGCUUUACAUAACAUAAUGUUGUAAUAACUACACAACCAAGUAAGUAUAACCAAGAGUGUGGGUUGGCGAGCACCUUACGGCUUGGUUAAGCCUGCUUCUAUAUAGCUCAAGGGCAGAUUUUCGACGAGCCAAGGGCGCGAAGCGCCUUUUUAGUUGGAGCCUAGGAUAGGGGGGGGGGGGAUUAAUUCCGCACGACAAUUCACACUGCUGUACUUAAGCUUUUAUUUUAUAUCUACGUUUCUUUUUUUCAGAAUAUCUUGCGAAUUUCAAUUUCGUAAAAUAUUUUUAGAGAUGUAAAAAACAUGUUUUCGAUUUCUUAGUCUCUGUAACCGAUUUGGACAAAGGUUACUGCCACAAGGCAAUAUCAAUUCCUAAACUACUAAUGAUUUAGCCCUUUCCUAAUUACUUGAUAUAUUUGAAUAUGUUGGGGUAAAGUUCAUUGUUUUUUCACUAUUUUCUCAGAGACGCUUAACCCACAAAUAUGUUGGGGCAUUUUCCGUUUGGCAGCGAGGAAAGUCCUCUUAAUUUCUGAUCAUGCUUAUUGUUUUGGAAAAUUGAAUUCAUUCUUCUUUUUCAGACAUCGACGAAUGUUCACAAGCAAACAUGUGUCACGCUGACGCAACAUGUACUAAUACGCCAGGAUCAUACCUAUGCACUUGCAACACUGGUUACACAGG
rnacentral:lncRNA from 1 species